rnacentral:rRNA from 1 species
UACGUAGGGCGCAAGCGUUGUCCGGAAUUAUUGGGCGUAAAGAGCUCGUAGGCGGCUUGUCACGUCGGGUGUGAAAGCCCGGGGCUUAACCCCGGGUCUGCAUUCGAUACGGGCAGGCUAGAGUGUGGUAGGGGAGAUCGGAAUUCCUGGUGUAGCGGUGAAAUGCGCAGAUAUCGGGAGGAACACCGGUGGCGAAGGCGGUUCUCUGGGCCUUACCUGACGCUGAGGAGCGAAAGCGUGGGGAGCAAACAGG